rnacentral:rRNA from 1 species
GACGAACGCUGGCGGCGUGCUUAACACAUGCAAGUCGAACGGGAUUUAGUAGACGGAAGCCUCGGUGGAAGAUUACUAAUGAGAGUGGCGAACGGGUGAGUAACGCGUGAGCAACCUGCCUAUGACAGUGGGAUAGCCUCGGGAAACCGGGAUUAAUACCGCAUAAAAUCGUAGAAACACAUGUUUUAACGGUCAAAGAUUUAUCGGUCAUAGAUGGGCUCGCGUCUGAUUAGCUAGUUGGUGAGAUAACAGCCCACCAAGGCGACGAUCAGUAGCCGGUCUGAGAGGAUGAACGGCCACAUUGGAACUGAGACACGGUCCAAACUCCUACGGGAGGCAGCAGUGGGGAAUAUUGCACAAUGGGGGAAACCCUGAUGCAGCGACGCCGCGUGAACGAAGAAGGUAUUCGUAUCGUAAAGUUCUGUCCUAUGGGAAGAUAAUGACAGUACCAUAGAAGAAAGCUCCGGCUAAAUACGUGCCAGCAGCCGCGGUAAUACGUAUGGAGCGAGCGUUGUCCGGAAUUAUUGGGCGUAAAGGGUACGCAGGCGGUUUAAUAAGUCGAAUGUUAAAGAUCGGGGCUCAACCCCGUAAAGCAUUGGAAACUGAUAAACUUGAGUAGUGGAGAGGAAAGUGGAAUUCCUAGUGUAGUGGUGAAAUACGUAGAUAUUAGGAGGAAUACCAGUAGCGAAGGCGACUUUCUGGACACAAACUGACGCUGAGGUACGAAAGCGUGGGGGAGCAAACAGG